rnacentral:rRNA from 1 species
UGCAAGUCGAACGCGUUGGCCCAAUUGAUUGAUGGUGCUUGCACCUGAUUGAUUUUGGUCGCCAACGAGUGGCGGACGGGUGAGUAACACGUAGGUAACCUGCCCAGAAGCGGGGGACAACAUUUGGAAACAGAUGCUAAUACCGCAUAACAACGUUGUUCGCAUGAACAACGCUUAAAAGAUGGCUUCUCGCUAUCACUUCUGGAUGGACCUGCGGUGCAUUAGCUUGUUGGUGGGGUAAUGGCCUACCAAGGCGAUGAUGCAUAGCCGAGUUGAGAGACUGAUCGGCCACAAUGGGACUGAGACACGGCCCAUACUCCUACGGGAGGCAGCAGUAGGGAAUCUUCCACAAUGGGCGCAAGCCUGAUGGAGCAACACCGCGUGAGUGAAGAAGGGUUUCGGCUCGUAAAGCUCUGUUGUUAAAGAAGAACACGUAUGAGAGUAACUGUUCAUACGUUGACGGUAUUUAACCAGAAAGUCACGGCUAACUACGUGCCAGCAGCCGCGGUAAUACGUAGGUGGCAAGCGUUAUCCGGAUUUAUUGGGCGUAAAGAGAGUGCAGGCGGUUUUCUAAGUCUGAUGUGAAAGCCUUCGGCUUAACCGGAGAAGUGCAUCGGAAACUGGAUAACUUGAGUGCAGAAGAGGGUAGUGGAACUCCAUGUGUAGCGGUGGAAUGCGUAGAUAUAUGGAAGAACACCAGUGGCGAAGGCGGCUACCUGGUCUGCAACUGACGCUGAGACUCGAAAGCAUGGGUAGCGAACAGGAUUAGAUACCCUGGUAGUCCAUGCCGUAAACGAUGAGUGCUAGGUGUUGGAGGGUUUCCGCCCUUCAGUGCCGGAGCUAACGCAUUAAGCACUCCGCCUGGGGAGUACGACCGCAAGGUUGAAACUCAAAGGAUUUGACGGGGGCCCGCACAAGCGGUGGAGCAUGUGG